CGUGGUGGUGAGCGGACGUGUGGUGCGCGUCGCUCCUCGCUCGCUGGUGUGUGUGUGUGUGCGCGUGUACGUGUUUCUUCUCUCGGCCGUGUGCGCGUCGUGUCAGCAAACCUUUGUAUCAUGUGCACACUGUGCGAGAGGUUACGGACAGGAGAUACCUCAUGAUAAGAGGAAGAAAGGAAAAAUUUCAGUGGAUAAGGAAAUACCGAAGGACAAGUCGAUGCGGAAUGGUGUGAGGAGGAAAGCGAAAGAGAAGAGGAAGAAAAGGAGAAAGAAGAGAGAGGGAGAGACGUAGGAGGAGGAGGAGGAGGAAGAGGCAGAAAUUGGCAGGAGGCGGAGAGGAAGUAGAGGGUCGAAGGAAGAGACGGAAUAGGAGG